rnacentral:piRNA from 1 species
ACCCUGAAGAUCUCAUCUCACUAGCUGAU